rnacentral:pre_miRNA from 1 species
AGUAAGAUGGCUGGGACAAAUUGUGGUUCCAUUCCAAGUUUUCUAAGUAAUCUCCAUACUGCUUUCCAGAUUGGUUAUACCAAUUUGAAGUCCCACCAGCAAU